AGGUCACUGUCCCUUUUACAACACAGUAGCAAAGAAGAUGGAUUCUCGUGUGUGCUCAGGGAAACACUGUCCUGAAGAGGUGUACACAUCUGAUGCCGUUUACAAAUACACUGGUUGCCAGCAGUUUGCUCUUGGCUCAAGCAUGACUACGCCCACGGGUCCCCUUGCCAACACGCCAAUGUCAGACACCUCUGAUAAUGCUAUCAUUGCUGGUUCAGUAAUAUCAGUGUUUGCUGUCAUUCUACUGGGUAUUCUGGGAUUUAUUCUAUGGAGAAAAAAGAGAUGUAAAAUUCUACGAAUAUUAAGACAUAUACAUUUCUAAAUCUAUUUUGCGAUGAUGAGCUGUACAAAAGAAAAUACUCCAGCAAAUGCUUUAGAUAUUUCAAGGGUUUAAAUAGAGUACUGGGG